GACGAACGCUGGCGGCGUGCCUAAUACAUGCAAGUCGAGCGGGACGGAGGAAGCUUGCUUCCAAAGUCUAGCGGCGGACGGGUGAGUAACACGUGGGCAACCUGCCUAUAAGACUGGGAUAACCUCGGGAAACCGAAGCUAAUACCGGAUACAACUUUCUCUUGCAUGAGAGAAAGAGGAAAGACUGAGAGUCGCUUAUAGAUGGGCCCGCGGCGCAUUAGCUAGUUGGUGAGGUAACGGCUCACCAAGGCGACGAUGCGUAGCCGACCUGAGAGGGUGAUCGGCCACACUGGGACUGAGACACGGCCCAGACUCCUACGGGAGGCAGCAGUAGGGAAUCUUCGGCAAUGGACGAAAGUCUGACCGAGCAACGCCGCGUGAGCGAAGAAGGCCUUCGGGUUGUAAAGCUCUGUCAUGAGGGAAGAACGGCUCGGGUGGCCCCGAGUAUGACGGUACCUCAGGAGGAAGCCCCGGCUAACUACGUGCCAGCCGCCGCCGUAAUAC
rnacentral:rRNA from 1 species